GGCACAGAAUGGCAGCGAGGGGAGCCCAGGGGUGGGGACGGGGCUGUGCUUCCUCUUGGCGGAGGCUGACGAAGGUGGGGUUAUUGGUUUGCUCAUCCUGGGGAGCUGGUCUGACAGGAAUUGGAGUGACAGUGGGGUGCAGCAGGUAGGCAGCUCUGGUGGCCUGGUCCUGGUCCUGGUCCUGCCCAGCCGAGUGGAGACCCCAAUGGAUCCGUCUGCCGGCACAGGGAGUGAGGGCAGGGCAGGCACUGAGCACACUGAGGAGCACUGAUGGCCUGAUCCUGGCUUGGAGAGGAUGUGCCAAGUAGGCCACCUCGAUCCUGGCAGCCACCAAAGGGUCCUCAUGAGAACGGGCCUCAUCCUCCUCAUCAUAGGGCACCUCAACUUCAUCACUGUAGCCCUCGUCCACGGCAUCGUCCUCCGCUUCGUGGUCGACCCCCGGGAUGCUGUCUCCCUGCAGUACGGCAUUGCCAAUGCUGCCUCUGUUGUCUCCGCGCUGCUGACCAUCUCUUGUGGAAUAGCCGCGCUCAUGCUGUCCCGCUACCUCGCCCCGGCUGCCCUCAAAUGGGCGGUUGUGGUGCUGAGCGCCAGCAGCAGCCUGUGCUGCCUGUCCUGCCUGCUGGCGCUGGCUGCCUCCAUCGGGCUGACGCUGGGCAGCCAGGGCCGGGCGCUGCUGGCCCCCUGCACCGUGGCCGACGUCGCCCUCGCCCCGCUUUCCCGCGAGUGCCCCUUCGAUCCCACCCGCGUCUACGUGAGUCCCAGUGGGUUGCGGAUGCCUGCGCUGGGGACAGGGCGAUGCGGGCAGACCCGACAGCCUGUGUCCCCGCAGAGCUCCACGCUGUCCCUCUGGACCAUCUCCCUCCUGCUCAAUGCAACAGAGAUUGUCUUCGGCAUCCGCUGCCUCCUGCUCGCCCUCCACCUCCUCCGCCUCGGCCGCUGCUGCCGCAGGAUGCACCGGAGGAAGGUCUCCUUGCAGGUGGCCCCCGUGGAGAGCGCUGAUGCCGGGCACUGCCUGGGUUUGCUGCGGCUGCACAGCAUGGAAACCGCCCGGCUCUGAGCGGGGCCCGGGGGCUGAUCCUGGGGAUGAGUCCCAGCCAGCCCUGCCUGGUCCCAGCGCCAGCACAGCCCCUCCACCGGACCUGGCUGCCCCCCAGCCCAUCCAUCGCACAACACCAGCCGAGACCAUCCCCGUGGCCUCGGGUCACCUGGGGCUGCAGCGAGCAAGGUAUUAAAAGAGCAGAGGCGCGUCCUCUCCCUGUGCUCCGGCCGUGGGGCUGGGGGGGGGCUGGCCCCAUGGCCCUGUGUGCAGGUGGGGGGGUGCUGGGGCGUCCCUGAGCCACCCGGUCUCUUGGGCCAUGUCCC